ensembl:rRNA 5S_rRNA 5S ribosomal RNA
UACAGCAGCCAUAUCACCCUGUAGCCCAAGACCGGUUGCCCACUGAAGCUAAGCAGGGUUGAGCUGGUCAGUACCUGGAUGGGAGACCUCCUGGGAAAACUAAGUUGCUGCUGGAA